CUUCCACUUGCACAUCGAGUU
ensembl:piRNA 21ur-4430 ncRNA